AGAGCUUUACCGAAAAACACAAUAUAGAUUCCAAAUUGAUUAAAUUUAGUCUCUUUAAACUAUAAAUUUGAUGAAACAGAUUGAUUCACUACCUACAUUAGGCAUGACCACGGUUACGGUUAUUACGGUUACGGUUAUAAAUUUUCUUUAACCAUAACCUUAACCACUAUAUAUACGGUUAAAACGGUUACGAUUAAAUACGGUUACGGUUAGAACGGUUACGGUUAAAUACGGUUACAGUUAUUUGAUGAUUACAAUACGGUUAAUAUCGGAGGUGAAAUCUUAGUAAUUAAUAUAUAAGCUAUUUUAUGAUUUGUUUUAUGAAAAAUAAAUAGUGGAUUAGUGGAAUUGCUUAAAUUUAGUAGUGGGCAAAACCAUCUAAUGCACUCUUUUCGUGAGCUAAUUAUGUAUUUAGGAAAAUGAAGUAACAAAAAAAUUAAUAUUUAUUAAUUAUAAUGAUGUUUAUUAAUCUAGCUAAAAUAAGUAAUAAACAAAUAAAAAAUUUAGUCACUAUCUUCUGAUCUCGUUGACGAUACAUCACUAUCAAUAUCUUCUACAUCUUCUUCAUUUUCUCGAAGGAAUUCUUGUUGUCUAUAUUCGGCCCUGGUCCAAUCAUCAAGACAUGCCUGGGCUUCAAGAGAAUCUGGACUCAUUCUUGAUCGAGUUUCGUCUAGUAUUUGACCUCCCAUGCUAAAAGCUCGCUCGACCGAAACUGUAGAAACUGGUGAAGAAAAAACGUCUUUUGCGAUCAUGGCCAAAAUCGGAUAGUGAGAUUGGUGGCUCUUCCACCAAUGAAUGAUUUGAAAGUUAUUACCUACAUCUGCAUCACUAAACUCAAAAUUAGUAGAUAAAUAUUUUUGAAGUUCAGCAUUAUUACCUUGUGAUGGUCGUUGCCUUUUCUGUCGCCGCAUUCUUUCUGCAAGACUUAACUUAGAAGUUGAUGAGAUAUUAGUUUGAAGAGAUGAUUCAGUUUCUUGUGGUGCCAUAUGCUGAUAUAUUCUAUAAUAUUCAUCAUAUAAAUUUUCUAUGUCUAUUCUUAAGUUUGAAAUAAUGCUAGGAACAUCAAUACUAUCAGACAAAUGCAAUAAAUCAUAAUAUGCGAUGAGGUAAUCAUACAAAGUAUCAAAUUUAGUUCGAGGAUCAAAAACGGAUGCAAGCAAAUUAAGAGGUGGAAUUUCUCUAUAGUAUUUUAUCCAUUUAUCUCUCAUAGUUUGUAUGCAUGUUGACAAAGCAAUAUUAUUUCCAUGUUCAUGCAUCACAUCAGCAAUAUUAACACAUUCAUAUAAAAGUAAAUGACUAGUAGGAUAAUAAACACCAGAUAACAAAAAUGUUGCAUCAUUGAAACAUUUUAACAAUUUUAAAAGUGCACUACAAUCAUCCCAAUGAGUUGUCCAUAAAGUUAAAGAACUACAAUUUUGUUGAAUAAAACUACACAAUAAAUCUUUAUAACCAAUAGAAUCAACAAGCAUAUCAUAUGUUGAAUUCCAACGAGUAGGAACAUCUCGAGAAAACCUUUUGGGAGAUACGUUAUGCAAUUUACAAAAUCGAAACCAUUUUUUCAUUAAUUGUGGGUGCCCCCACAAAUAAUUCAAAGCAUUUUUGAUCGGUGAAACAAGGUUAUUUUGAGAAACCAAUAAACCAUCUUGAACACAUAAAUUUAAAACUUGACAAAUGCAUCGAACAUGAAAAUAUUUUCCACCUAAAAUAGGACUACAAUUAUUUAUUAAUUCAUCAAUAGAAGCAGUAUUAGCGGAUGCAUUGUCAAACGAAAUAGAAAAUAUUCUGUUUGUUAAAUUAUAUUCUUCUAAAAUUAUUUUUAUUAAUUUAAAAAUAUUAUCGGAUGUAUGUCUUUCAUCAAAAACUCGAAAAGCAAUAAUUCUCUUUUGAAUAAUCCAAUCACUAUCAACCCAAUGACAAGUAAUGCCCAUAUAAUGAUGUAUUUGCCACUGAUCACUCCAAAUAUCAGAGCAUAUGGAAACAUUAUUUGGUAAACCAGAAAACAAAUAUUCUAAAUCUUUUUUUGUUUUUCCAUAAAGUGAUUUUAGUGUACGAGUAAGAGUAGUUCGAGGAACUCUCUUAGCUUGAGGAUUUAAAGCUUUUUGGCAAUAAUUAUUAAAACCCAGUUUCUCGCCAAAACUAAAUGAAAGAUGGUCAACAGCAACACAUUUUGCUAAUUCUAUUCGAUUUUUCUUAUCUGAAUAAUGAAAAUUCGAAAGACUAGCAUUAUGAGUUUGGCUAGUUUCUCCACCAUAUUUAUCAGGAUGUUUGUUAACCAAAUGAUAUCUAUAUGAUCCAUAUCCUGAACCCGAUUUCCAAAAGAAACUUCUAUCGCAGUAAUUGCAACAUGCUUUCGUUUUUUCACCAAUUUUUUCUUUUCGAAAGUGUACCUUGAAAAUAUCGGAAGCAUUCGGACGUUGUUUUCCCGAGCUUACGUUAGCUUGUUCUUCGGUUGCACUUUCUUGAGUAUUGGUGGCUGGUAUUGAGUUAUGAUUUAUGAACAUCUUCUAUUGGUGUGCCGAUAUUAGAUCGAAAUGAAUCCGAAGACAUUUCCAAAGAAAACAAAAAAAAAAAACUUAAAGGUAUGACAAAAUAAAACUCUUCAACGUUGGCUAGAGCAAAAGAAAAAUAAUCUUUGUUGUGAAAUGUUUUAACAUACGGAACAAUGGAAUACAUAUAUAUAUAUAUAUAUAGAAAAACUGGUUAGUGAUUACUAUAUUAGUGGAAAAAAUCUUUGAAAUUUUCAAAUGAAACAAACGUUGCCAACGUUACGUAGGUGACUUGGUCAUAAGCAAACGUUGGUGACUUAGUUAUUAGUUUUCCAAAACUCGCUCAAGUCUUUAACGUGGGUCAGUUUUUUAAGCAAACAGAUUAUAUGAUAUUUUAUAUUUUUUAAUAUUAUGAGCCUCAUUAAAUUGUGUUUUCACUCUAGACAGUCAAACAUGAACACCAAAAUACAAUCUACUACUUAGUUUAUAACUAAGUUAGUUAGUCAUAGUCCGUGAUAUUUGCAAAUCUACAAUCCACUUUGACUUUGUUAACAAGAAUAAUUUCAAUUUAUUAAACAUCAGAAUUAUUAACCGUAAUCGUUUGAGAAAAUACCAUUUUUUUGAGUAGAUUUGUUCAUAUAAUGUAUCAUUUACUUUUUUGAAAAAUUGUAUCUAGACAUUCGAUAUUUGUCUUUUCAUUAGACACAGUUACGAUAACAAUUUUAAGGUUUUAAUUGCACGGUUAACUAUACGGUUAACCGUGCGGUUAACCGUACGGUUAAUAACGGUUUUGAUACGUUUACGGUUAAUUAACGGUUACGGUUAGUAUAUUUUUUAACCGUAACUAAUCUAUUUUUACGGUUAACGGUUACGGUUUUUAACCGUUUUAUACGGUUACGGUCCGGUUACGGUUGAGAUACGGUCCGGUUACGGUUAGGUUUUGGUCAUGCUUACCUAACAUGUUCAAACAAAACGAAACAAACAAAAAUAUUAGUUGCAAUGGAAUUAGAUAUGAAAAGUUCAAUAAUGACCCAAAUUUCUCUGCGAUCUUCACAAUCCUUACAUACGAUCUAUAAUGAAUCACAUAAAAAUCAUAUUUAGAAACUCAAUCAUAGAUUAAAAAACAGUAAAAACAUAGAUCUCACACAAGAAAAGCUUACCUCUUUGUAGAACUAACAAUUUGACAACCACAAUCUAUAAGCAAAGACGAAUUAUGGGGAUUCUGUAUCGAUUUCACUACUGAAUCGUCGAUCGACCGACAAUAGUUUUUUUUUAAGGUUGAUUUUUUUUUUCGUUUUCAGACAACGAUGGAUCCAAAGAAAAUUAUU
rnacentral:lncRNA from 1 species